CUACGGGAGGCAGCAGUGAGGAAUAUUGCACAAUGGGGGGAACCCUGAUGCAGCAACGCCGCGUGGAGGAUGACGCAUUUCGGAGUGUAAACUCCUUUUAUAUGUCAAGAAAAUGACGGUAGCAUAUGAAUAAGCACCGGCUAACUCCGUGCCAGCAGCCGCGGUAAUACGGAGGGUGCAAGCGUUACUCGGAAUCACUGGGCGUAAAGGACGCGUAGGCGGGUUGGAAAGUCAGGUGUGAAAUCCUACAGCUUAACUGUAGAACUGCACUUGAAACUUCUAAUCUAGAGUAUGGGAGGGGGAGAUGGAAUUAGUGGUGUAGGGGUAAAAUCCGUAGAUAUUACUAGGAAUACCUAAAGCGAAGGCGAUCUCCUGGAACAUUACUGACGCUAAGGCGUGAAAGCGUGGGGAGCAAACAGGAUUAGAUACCCUAGUAGUC
rnacentral:rRNA from 1 species